GGCGCUGUAGCAAAGUGGUUAAUGCGAUUGACUCGAAUUUCUGCGUCUCUUCGCUCUAUGCUCCGAUAUCAAUUCCCUUCGGGGGCGCAGGUUCGAAUCCUGCCGGCGUCG